GUGUGUUGACUUUGAAUUGUAACUGUGCUAUAGUCUUGCUGCUUCCUGUAGCUCUGCAUGGCUUAUUGAGAAAGCUUAUUUGUUGCUCUAGCUGUCUUUAUGGCGUCUUGUUGACUUCUGUCGGUAAGG